UUUAAAGAUACAUGUAGGUGCGCCAACAAUUUAGAUUUGUAAUAGAUGGAAUUUUUUCAUAGAGCAGAAAAUGUUGCCAUUUGUGCUUCUUCAAGACCCAAGGGACCUCAACUCUUCAAUUAGAGCAUGUUUAUAAGAAUGAAUAUUUAACAUAAAAGCUUUGGUAUAUAGGUCUGAUUCUUAAUUCAGUUGGCAUUAUGCUGCUGAAAUUAACUUCUUGCAUGUUGUCUUUCAGUGGAAAUAAAAUUGGCACUACCAUGCACGGAUGACAUUCAUGAGGAAAACCUCUUCUCUUCGAUGAGUUCGAUCAAAACAUGUAGGUGGCUAACAACUUAGAUUUGUAAUAGAUGGAGGAUUUUCAUAGAGCAGAAAAUGUUGCCAUUUGUGCU
rnacentral:lncRNA from 1 species